rnacentral:rRNA from 1 species
ACGCUCGACACCUACGGGGCAGCAGUCGGGAAUAUUGCGCAAUGGAGGAAACUCUGACGCAGUGACGCCGCGUAUAGGAAGAAGGUUUUCGGAUUGUAAACUAUUGUCGUUAGGGAAGAGAAAGGACAGUACCUAAGGAGGAAGCUCCGGCUAACUACGUGCCUGCAGCCGCGGUAAUCUGAGCGGGCUGGCAAGGC